UACGGGGGGGGCAAGCGUUGUUCGGAAUUACUGGGCGUAAAGGGCUCGUAGGCGGCCAACUAAGUCAGACGUGAAAUCCCGUCGGCUUAACCGGGGGAACUGCAUCUGAUACUGGAUGGCUUGAGUUCGGGAGAGGGAUGUGGAAAUUCCAGGUGUAGCGGUGAAAUGCGUAGAUAUCUGGAGGAACACCGGUGGCGAAGGCGGCAUCCUGGGACCGACACUGACGCUGAUGAGCGAAAGCCAGGGGAGCAACGGG
rnacentral:rRNA from 1 species